CUACUCUUGUCUAACCGGAUAGUGGGAAUUUACCGUCGCUCUUAGCGUAUCUCAGCCACAAAGUGUCGAGUGCGUUUUUGGCGACAAUUUAGUGGGAAAUUUUUGUGGUUAAAACCAAAAAUCUCGUUAACAGCAAAAUUACCAAACUGAUGAUUCAUUGCAAACUGAUCACUGAAUACGUUGUUUCUGGUGUUGUAAUUCAUAGUGUUCAGUAUUAUUGUUUAGUUAAUGUACUUUCCGUUCAAAGUUGUUAAUGAUUAAUCCUAUCCACGAGAAGCUGAACUCGGUCACUGAAAAGAUAAAGAGAUAGUGUGUGUUGUCAGUACUUAUAAGUCUACUGAGUUUAUAUUAAGGUGAUAUAGUCAAGUAUGUUACAACUAAGAGUCAUUACAGGAACAAUAACAAAUCCAGAUUUGAUUCAGAACAGUUAAUGGGAAGAAAUAAACUAAAACUUAUGUUAUAGAAGAGAUUUCAAAGGAUCAAAAUCCUGAAGAAAAAUUAUCAGAGUUAGUGACAGCCCUGAUUAAUGAACACAAUUAACCAAAGGACUUCUUCACGUCAUCAUUAUAGAUAGUGAAAAGGAAAGACAUUUGACAAGCUUUCAAAGCAUUACCUUACAGCUUAGGGAGAAGCAGUUUUUACAGAAUAGCUGUGCCUGAAAUAAAUUACAAAUAACAAUAAAGUCAAGAAGGACGAUUUUAGACUGUGUAAGUGUGUGUUAGGGAAUUGGUAAAAUGUCUGAAGGAUUAUAAGAAAUCUGGAGAGUUUAUACAAAAAAUUCGAAGAAAGUAAACGUUUAUAGAAUUAGCCUGUUAUUUAGUUUGAGUCAAGAUUACUGGUUAAGAAGAAUGAGCACAGCACCCACAGGACUAUCCAUUGACACAAUUCUGUAACUACACUCACUAGAGCCUAGCUUGUAGGUUAGACAGAGAACGGUUCCAGGGAUAAAUGUCAAUGUUUCUAUUUUGAUACUUUUGGAAAUUAUAAAGUGUUUGAACUGAGGGAUCCUUCUCCUACUAGCUGAUAAAGAACUUCAUCCUGAUCUUCAUCUUCCAAGAUGUUAUACCGACUCCAGAUGCUAUAAGCAUCUCUUGACCUCAGUUAUAUGUAACUGUACCUAAAUACUUGUUUAAAAGAUAGUUUACUAGGCAGAGAAGAUUGUAUUCGAUUAAAAACUAAUGUGGAUUGCGUCUGUUUUAACUUUUAUGUCUAAAUGUUCUUGAUUCAUAAAAUCUUUAUCAGUUAUUUGAUAUAAA